AUACGGGAGGCAGCAGCAAGGAAUUUUCCGCAAUGGACGAAAGUCUGACGGAGCAACGCCGCGUGAGUGAUGAAGCCUUUCGGGGUGUAAAACUCUUUUCUGAGGGAAGAAGAUCUGACGGUACCUCAGGAAUAAGCAUCGGCUAACUACGUGCCAGCAGCCGCGGUAAUACGUAGGAUGCAAGCGUUGUCCGGAAUUACUGGGCGUAAAGAGCGCGCAGGCGGCAUUUUAAGUUGGGCGUGAAAUCUCUCGGCUUAACUGAGAGGGGUCGUCCAAAACUGGAAAGCUAACGAGGGCAGGAGAGGAAAGUGGAAUUCCCGGUGUAGUGGUGAAAUGCGUAGAUAUCGGGAGGAACACCUGUGGCGAAGGCGACUUUCUGGCCUGUUCCUGACGCUGAGGCGCGAAGGCUAGGGGAGCGAACGGGAUUAGAUACCCCGGUAGC
rnacentral:rRNA from 1 species